rnacentral:rRNA from 1 species
CCUACGGGAGGCAGCAGUGAGGAAUAUUGGUCAAUGGACGAGAGUCUGAACCAGCCAAGUAGCGUGAAGGAUGACUGCCCUAUGGGUUGUAAACUUCUUUUAUAUGGGAAUAAAAUGUUCCACGUGUGGGAUUUUGUAUGUACCAUAUGAAUAAGGAUCGGCUAACUCCGUGCCAGCAGCCGCGGUAAUACGGAGGGUGCAAGCGUUGUCCGGAAUCAUUGGGCGUAAAGAGUUCGUAGGCGGCAUGUAAAGUCAGGUGUUAAAGGCGCAGGCUCAACCUGUGUAUGGCACUUGAUACUUGCAAGCUGGAAUGCGGUAGAGGUAAAGGGAAUUCCUGGUGUAGCGGUGAAAUGCUUAGAUAUCAGGAGGAACAUCGGUGGCGUAAGCGCUUUACUGGGCCGUAAUUGACGCUGAGGAACGAAAGCCAGGGUAGCAAAUGGGAUUAGAUACCCUUGUAGUC